rnacentral:rRNA from 1 species
AAUCCAUAGGUUAAUGAGGCGAACCGGGGGAACUGAAACAUCUAAGUACCCCGAGGAAAAGAAAUCAACCGAGAUUCCCCCAGUAGCGGCGAGCGAACGGGGAGGAGCCCAGAGCCUGAAUCAGCAUGUGUGUUAGUGGAAGCGUCUGGAAAGGCGCGCGAUACAGGGUGACAGCCCCGUACACAAAAGCGCAUGUGCUGUGAGCUCGAUGAGUAGGGCGGGACACGUGGUAUCCUGUCUGAAUAUGGGGGGACCAUCCUCCAAGGCUAAAUACUCCUGACUGACCGAUAGUGAACCAGUACCGUGAGGGAAAGGCGAAAAGAACCCCGGCGAGGGGAGUGAAAAAGAACCUGAAACCGUGUACGUACAAGCAGUGGGAGCACCCUUUUGGGUGUGACUG